rnacentral:lncRNA from 1 species
GGGCGCGGGAGCGGGCGGAACCUCAGGAAGAGGGCUGAGAAAGGGCAGUGACCCUGGGCAAGGUCACUAGUGGGCCUGGGCCUGGGAUGCAGGCAGUGUGACUGGGAGGCCUGCCUGAGCUUGUCCCACCAUCUCAGGUUUCGAGCAGAUCCCUCUGGGCCUGGGUUGGCCUGUGUCCCUGAGGAGGCCCCCUCUGCCCCGCAGCCGCAGCCCCCACCCAGCCCGAGGUGGGCGGAGAGGCCUCCGUCUCAGGCAGGCGCAGCACCUGCCCAGGGGCUCCAUAAAUGUCUGACUUAAUCGGAGCCAGGCAAGGGCUGCUGCGGGCUCAGAUGCCAGCUCCCUUGCCCUCUGAGGAGGAUGCGAAGUCACCAGUGGGCUUUCCCUGUCUUGGCCCUGUACACUGAGAACUGGGGGCAGGUGUCGGCGCUGUGCAUUGUUUCUGUUAUUCCAUAACUGUGGAGUGAUCACCUACUAUGUGCUAGGCACUGUUCUAGGUGCUGGGGAUACAGCGGGGAACUAAAAAGACAAAAUUCCUGCCUUAGUGGAGCUUAUAUUUUAGUCGGGAUAAAUAAGCAAAAUAAACGAGAAGGUAAAAUUGGCUAUUUGAAGAAACAGAGCAGGGUAGAGUGAGGAGAAUGAAGAGCUGAGGAGGUGGAGGGUGUUGCAGUUUUAAAUGGGACGGUCAAGGAUGGCCUCACUGAGAUGACAUUUGACAAAGACUUGAAGGAAGUGAGACAGAGCCAUGAGGAUAUCCCUGGGGAAGAGCAUUCGAGGCAGAGGAAACAGCAAGUACAAAGGUCCUGAGAUCUUUUUGGUGAGGCGUAUUUUGGGCAUAUUUGGUGAGUUGGAGGAAAAGCAAAGAGACCAGAGCGGCUGGAGUGGAGUAACUGGGAGGAGGGAAAUAGGAGAGCUCACAGGUGGGAGUAGGUGUUGUCGUUCAUGUAGGGUCUUGUGGGCCAUUAUAAAGACUUUGGCUUUUAUUCUGGUGAAAUGGGGCGUCCGUGCAGGGCUUUUAACAAAAGAGUGUCUUGGUCUGACCUACAUUUUAGGAAUAUCAGUGUGGCUGCAGUGCUGAGAAUACUGCUAAUAGUUCAGGAAAGAGAUGGUGGUGGAUGGACCAGGGUGAUAGCUGCGGGGGUGGGGAGUGUAUUGGAUGCUGGAUACUGCAUCUGAGGAUGGAGCUGACAGUCUGGAAUGCCAGGGAGGAGGAAGCAUCAAGUCAUAAUCAGCAUCAUCCCUUCUAGGGGUACCUGACUCUAGCUUUCCAAGAGUUCUCACAUGCAGGUUCGUCUCUCAUCCCCUGGCAGCCUUGAGGCUGUUCUUGGGAAGAACAGAUGUUGUGGACCCUGCUGACCAAUGAGGAAGCUGAAACUCAGGCUGUAAGAGAUGUGAGAAGGGAAGAUGAAGAGAUGCCUUCUGACGACCAGCAUAACCUCAGGCACUCCCAAAGACCUAUGGCUGAUAAGUUCCAAGAUAAGGCCUGUGUCUUCAUGAGGGCAGAGUGAAGCCGGAAUCCUGCCUCAGCAUGUGCUGCCUGGGCAGUGGCUUUCGCCUCUCCAUGCCUAGAGACAUACCGGUGAUGGCAUGAGGAGACGGUCCCCAAAUUGUCUUCCGGGCAUUGGUAUUACAGGUUUGACAAUGAUGUGGAAAACCACACCCUGUAGGCCGAAUCCAGCCUUGAGGCCUGGUGAUACCCGGCAGGAAAGAAGCGAAGUGGAAGAUGGCUCAGGAAGUCUGACUCCAGGCUAAUUCCUUGAGGAAAGCUGGCUUGCCAGGAGCGGUGGAGGCAAGCUGUUGGCUCAGAGUGAAGGUAAUUGGACCAGAGAUGCACCUGUGACCAAUCCUUUCCUGGAAAUUAGAAAUUAACUGAGACAGCCCUAUGAGUGACUAGACCCUAAGGGUGAACUUGGUACCCAAGGGCAGCCCUGUUCUGCCAUGUGGCCUGGGGAGCAGAGGAAGCCAGUCUGCAGAAAGAAGAAAAGUGAAUCAGAAACACAGGGAAGCCCAGAGAUGGGAGGUGGAGAGAGAAUCUGUUCCAAGAUGCCCUCCAGGCCUUGCACUACCGGCCCUGCCUCUCUCUCAGACUUAACUCAGGACAUCGGCUCUGGCUCAUUGGACUGCAGGCAGAUUCAUCUUCAAGCAAGCACAGCAUGGUCCCACCUGAGGUUUUACACACGCUGUUCCCUCUGCCUGGCACUCUUGCCCGCUGUCUUUCCCAUGCUGCCUCUUUCUUGACAAUCAGGAAUGUUCUUAAAUGUCUCUUUCUCAGAAAGUGAUGCUCCAAAGCGGCCCCUCCUCCAGGCACACUCGAUCACAUUAGCCUGCUCUGCUGCCUUCCCUGCACGUGUCAUCUUCAGUGCCCUCACAGGGAUUUAUUUUCUUACUGGUUUGCCAUAAGCUCCUUGAGAGCAGAGAUCCUGUAGGUUUGUUCAUCACUGGAUCUCCAGGCCCUUGAACAUGGCCUGGCACAUGUAGUGGUAUCUCAAUAAACGUUAGUUGAAGGAAGGAUCACUUCCCCAUCCUUCCUGAGGACCAGCAUCCUUCCAGGCUUCAGGUUGCAGGAGACUCCCCAGCCUGUGUUCUCUGAUAACAAACGUCCUUCCUGGCAGACGCAUGUGGAUUCCUGAUGGACUCCUAAGGGGUUCAGCCUUGUCUACAGAUAAGGAAACUGAGACCCAAGUGACUUUCCCGGGGUUAUGUGACCAGUUAGUUGGGCAGUGGGGACAAGAGAACUAAGCUUUCAGGCCACUGCUGCAUCCCCAGGGGACUCACUCUCCUGACCGUGGGUCGCAGCCCAGGGCUCUCCCCACAGCAAGGUGGUCAAGUCAACCUCAGGCCUGUGUGCUUCCUGUUGCAAGCUUUUAAUAAAUCAGUUUCUUUUCAAAACACUGCCCAGAAUAGUCUGUGGUCUCCCAGCAGAAAGAUGCCGACAGCUCUGUCUAUUCUAGGAAGUUAUUUUAUUUUCUGAUGAAUAUAGUGGGAAUGGAUGCUUUGAAUGUCUCAGUUGCUGAAGGAACAUGAAAGAUAUGACACUGCUCCUGCCCCACCCAGAUUUCUUUUUCAAGAUGUCCUUUUGUUCAGCCUCUGUUUUGCUGUAGUCCUGGGAAGCUGAUCCUCUUGCCCAGAGGAAAACACAGUCCUAACUGCUGUGUGUAGAACGCUCUUCUAAGGAGCUCUCCCAAGGAAAUGGGACCCUUGCACUUGGCCUGGGAACUCAACAAUUGUGUGUUGAAUGGCUGACUUGGCCAUGACUGCCAGAGUGACUGUUAUCAGACUCGGAGAUGGCGCUGGUCAGGGAAGGCAGGAAGCACAAAGCGUGGACUGAGAUGCCCUUACUCGUGGGAGGCAGAAUAGCCAUUUGUCAUGCUUUGUGGCCACCUGGGAUCUUUAUCUCCUUUCCUGUAUUUGGAGAAUCCCCUACCUGAUGAGGCAGAACCUUCCUCCCACUGGAGAAGCUGAAAAGGCCAGGCACUGACUGUGCCAGACUCCCUUGUGAUUCCAGGGAGGGCGGGUAACCUCAGCUCUGCUGGACAGACACCACUGAGUCCAGGGGCAGCUGCAUCCCAAUUUGGUCAAGGUUGUCCAGGCAGCUGUGGGUGGAGUCGGUCCAGGGGCACCUGGGUAUCCAUGCCCAGCAGUGGCGCAGUGGUGUCUCUCCUUGCCAGACCAGCCCUGAGGGGGAUUUCCAGCCUCUGUCCCUGGCUGCCCAGCCUCCCAGCCUGGUCCUCGUCCUCCCAGAGACUGUGAACCACUUGAGAUUAAUUCUGUUUCUGCCUGAAUGAGCCAGGUUUGGUUUCUGUGGCUUGUAAUGGAGAACAGGACAAAGGGGAGACUUCCUGAAGGAGGGCCAGGCAGUGGCGGGGCGUGAAGAGGGGCACAGCACCCCGGUGGAGGACAUGGCAUUUGAGCAGGAAGAGACGCCGCAGCACCUUGUCCUUCAGACCGAGUCACAAGCUGUGUGGAGGGAAGUGAGUCACAGAGCGGGUCAGAUUGUCCUCCAGCUCCUCGCAGGGGUUACAAAGGGUCACGGGAAUCAGGAACAGGCUGGAGGGACUUCCUGCAGGGCUGGCUUUCUUCCCUUCGCUGCUUUUGAGCUUUUCACUCAAGAACAUCGGGCUUUCCUCCUGUGAUGAGCUCAGCCUCAUCAGAGGCAGCUUCUCAGGUUUGACUGGGGGACCUCAGGGUGCUCCCCUACCUUGAACCCACAGAAUUGCUAUUGUCUGAGAGAGGCCAUGGAGCUGCAUUUGCUGAGUUCCAGUGGCCGCUGGGGCAUUUGGUUCCUGAAAUCAGAGAAGAGCUUUGAUUUUUCUCUCAGAGACCCUUGGGGAUCAAGACUUAGCUCCUGGCAGGAUCACCUCCUGCAUGAUCGCCAGAAUUCCUGGGCCCUAGUCGGGAUGCAGUUUCCCAGGGCUUCUUUCCCACCGCAGGCCUGAUCAGCAGAUGCUCCUGCUGCCCAGGGAGGUGUGGGAGGGCACCGAGGAGAAACUUCACUGACAUCAUGAUUUUCCGAGACCAGGCCUGAACUAGUUCCUGGUGGUUGAGAAUGUCAGGGCUGGAGGGAAGCGCCUGAGAGCAGACAGUCAAGCAGCACAGAGAAGGAAACCAGGACAGGACCUCAAGGAGAUGCGUCUGCCGUCUGGAAGAAGAUUUCUGAAAAUACAAAACAUGAUGUCAAGGGGGAGCAAUCUCUGAGGGUCUUUUCUCCAGACUAUGGUAUCUUUGGAAUGGAAACCACACAGCUGCAUGAUGAUGCAGGAGGUUGCCAGAUUUCAUUCCAUGGUCCUGACCGCAGUCCAGGUUUGAUCGUCAGCUAUUUAACACACAAGAAGCAGACGAUGUUUAUGACUUCAGACAGCGGCCUUGAUUUCACAGAGAAAAUAGGAAAGCUUAUUAUUUUGCACAUGAACCGUGAGAAGCAGACCAGCUUACUCCCACGAAGGCUGGUCACCUGGUGCCCUGAUGAAGAUUUCUCAGAGGGAAUGUGUGGCCCCUCAUCCCAGUGGCUACCUAGUCACUUCUCAAGAAAGUACAGUGCUCUGAUGACUGGGCGGACGUGCGCGGCCUCUGACUGCGGCCGUGGUGAUGUUCUCUCACACUGUAAAGGGGAGGAACGGGCCCCAGCAUGGAGACUGAUGGAAUCAACACGACUCUGCUGUAAUUUGCAUUCCUUUCUUUCUCAAGGAUGGAAAUUAAUAUUUGGCAUCUAUGAGCCUUUUUUCGAACUUAUCUAAGAAUAAAACCCUCAUUGUUGGAUGCCAUGUCUUGAUAAUAAAUGGCAACAUUAUUCCAUUAUUCUGCAACGCCACAGGGACUCGCCCGGCCCAGGGCGGGUGAAGGUUGGGGGAGGGAAGAGGAGCUUCCUGGGUGAAGAGGCCUCAGCAACACGAAGCCAGGUUGAGGUAUUUCAUCCUCGCUGCUCACAUCAGAGCACAACAGUGUUUUGACCCGUGGGAAAGCACUUUGAAAACAUCUGCCUUUCCAUUUUUCUUCUCUUUGAUUUCACUGAAUUCAAUUCCAUACGUGGUUAUUAAGCAGCUACUAAAUAUCAGGAUGGUGCUGAAUUCCCUCCCUCUCCAUCCCAACCAAGCAAACAAAAGAGGAGGAGGAUGUCCCUGUCCUCCUGGAGGUUGGGAUCUGCUGGGGAGACAGACGGAUGUUUAAAAUGGCCAGACAAGAACACAGGCCAGAGCAGAUCAGCUGCGGAGUGGCCAUUGAUGUCGUUUCUGCCUAUCUCCAGUCUCUAUCUUCUGGUUCCGUCCCAUUUGGCUUUCGAGGAAUCGCCUCAAACCAGCAUCAUUCAGGGCCUGUCGGGGGAGAUGCCAGCCCUCCUCCAGCCAGGGCUGGGCACGUGGCCGCCAGGCAGCUCGACCCUCCUCCCAGGCCGGUGAGUCUUGCCUGGAGGGACACAAGGAUAAAGGAAGAGGAAACACACUCACACAUACUCAUUCACAUCCCUCUUCAGACUGUUCAGCACAGAGGCCCAGAUGAGACAGCCCACCUCCUUUUGUUCCCCAGACCCCAAGGGUCAGCCCAGGUUCCUGCCUGUUCCAAGCCAGCUUCUGUGUUCCUUUGGUUCUGUGGUUCUCCUAUUUCCUGUCAUCCAUUCCCUUUGUGCUCAGAGGUAGUUUUUGUUGCUUUCAAACAAAGAACCUGAGUGGGACACCUGGCAAGUUAUUUUUAUGUCCAUCAGAGUUGGAAAAGAUUAGAGAACAUGACUAGCGCUCAGGGAGACUGACAGAACUGUCCAGAGCCCAGACUCAGACAGAGAAAUGCUGGCCCUGCAGCUGUGAACUCUGAAAACAGAAGAAAGACUGCCUGAAAUAUAGAGAGCAUGGAACCCUUCUGUGUUGGUCAGAUGAACAGAGAUCUUUAUUUUAUUUUAUUUUUGAGGAAGAUUAGCUCUGAGCUAACAUCUGCUGCCAAUCCUCCUCUUUUUGCUGAGGAAGACUGGCUCUGAGCUAACAUCCACACUCAUCUUCCUCUACUUUAUAUGUGGGACGCCUGCCACAGCAUGGCUUGCCAAGCGGUGCAGUGUCCGCACCCGGGAUCUGAACUGGCAAACCCUGGGCCACCAAAGCGGAACGUGCAAACUUAACCACAGCGCCAUGGGGCCAGCUCCUGAACAGAGAUCUUAAUAUCGCCUCCCUGCUCUUCACCCCCUGCAUGCUCAGUACAGGACAUCCCACACAGUGGGAGUCACUGCUCAGAGGAAGCCUGUGGAUGGAUUCAGUUCCAUAGGUCACUCAUUGUGCCAGGUCCACGAGCCCCCAAAGGCCUGGCGGCCUGUCUGAACUCCGUACAUCUGCUAACCACCCUGGGGAUCAUCUGGGUUAAAAUCUUAAUCCUCAGGCAGCCUCCUCUCACCACCCCGUGUGCUCAGAGGGGGCUGUCUCCCCUACCAGUUGUUAAGGGAAUGUUUCAAAACUGGUUUGAACAAAAUGACUGAGGUGCUGUCUGUUGCUUGUGGCUCUCUGUCUCCUUGUAUCUCUGUCCCUCUCCUCCAGGUUAUGUAAUCAAGAACUGGCUGCUCUUUGCCGGGGGGACUAGGCCUACGUUGCCUUUUACAAAUCAUUAUGAAAUAUCUCCAACAUACGACAAGGCUUCAGGAAUACUACUGUGAACACCUGUGUGCUACCACUAAGCUCAAGAAAUAACACAUUAGGAACACAGUUGGGGCUCCUGUAAAUGCCUGCCAAGAGAGCCCCAGACUCUAACCCAGAGCUUUGCAGCUUCUCAUAGGUUUGGGAUCAAUAGCAGUUCAAGACGGGCCGCAGCUACACACAGCUUCUGUCUCCACUCAGGUCUACAAGAUUAAUAAUUAUUGUCCAGAUGACUAUAUUUCUCUGCAUCCAGAAUGAGUCACCAGUGGCAAGAUCAACACGGGCAGGCCUGUGUGGGGAGCUGAAAUUUUGGCUGUGCCCCCUUCUCAUCCUAAUAAUAACCACACAGUCGAGGUGGGGGGUGUUAUGACAUAUUGCCCAGACCCAUGACCUUCCCCUCUGCGCGGACCUCCUACAGAGCCACCACGCCCAACUUCUUCAGGCCGUGCUGGCUCUUCCCCCUCUUGGCUCCCUCUUUAAGCUCUGUAGUAUAUUACUGGCCUUAGGCCCUCCCUCAAUGUUUGUAAUCUAUGAAUAACUACUGUAAUUUUUGAGUAGCAGACACGUUAUACAGAAUUUACAGUAUAAAGAAUUACCCCAAAGAAUGUUCCAGUCUUCUACAGCCUGAGGGCCUGUUACAGAAGGAAACUGACUAAAGGAUUACAGUAACCUUAUCCUUAUUUUGCAGAUGGGGAAACUGAGGCCCAGAGAGCCCUGACCCCACAAUGGCGAGAACUUGGGCAGUAUUGGGGGUAGGGGUAUUAAACUUGCUGAGAAGGUGGGAUUUGAGGCAGAGUUCUGCCCAGACCUUCCACCAGGCUGAUGCUGACGUUCUGCCAGGCUAAUCCCUCCACUGUUUGGUGGUUUUUAGCCACUCGUGGUCAUGCUACAUUGUUCAAUGGAGGGACGCAGGGUGGCCUUAGUCUGUUUCCUGUGAGUUCUCCACGAGUACCAACUGCAGCCUCCAACUAACAAUUUGCAAAGUACUGACUGGUAUGUUGGUACAAUUUGCAAAGUACUGACUGGUGGUUUUGCUCAGCUGUAUCAUCUGUGACUAUGACAGUCUGAUAGAAUAA